GCACGGAAACACAAAGUGAAAUGUCUAGACAAGCAGCUUAAAAGCAAAAAUCCAUCCACUAGCUGGCACUUUCUACCAUCAUGUUAUAGCAGGAAGUAAUGAUCUGAAUCCCAGAUGAUGGAACCAAGGCUCAGAGAGUUGCAGCGACAUGCCCAAGAUCCUCUGGAAGGUGGCAGACCAGCCUCCACCCACACCUUCGGUCUCCAACCCCAGGCUUCCUUUCCCACACUAGAGCAGAAGCAUCUACUGGCUUCCUACUCCUACGUCAUGGCUGACCUCAUUAGCAGCAGGAAUUCUUUAAGACAGCUUCAGAAUGGAACAGCUUGUGAGGGAGAGACAUGGCUGCGAGCCAGAAAGUUCAUCCAAUUCAGCCUGUGACCACCCUCCACCAGCCUUCAUCCUGAGACUCCAGGAUUACGGGAUCACCCAAAGGUGGAUUUUCACCACUGCAAGACUCUCAAACAAGAGGCAGCUUCUGUAGCUUGCAAUCAAGAAACCCAAGUGAGAUUGAAAAGUCUGACUCCAUGUGUGAAGAAGAAGGUGGAUGGAACAGGUGCCUCACAUCUGAUGAGAUGCCUGGGGAAGACUGUGGUGGGCUGGGUACUUCUCAGUAAAAAUUGUGAAAUAUACCACAUGUACUAAAGCCUAUGAAAUGUAUAUACCUGGAAGAAUAACAGUGAAGUGAAUGCACAUGUUGCCAUUGCUGAGAAUAAGAAUAAAGCAUAUUACUGAUA